ensembl:piRNA 21ur-14521 ncRNA
UUAGUUGGUUGGAAUAUAGAA